rnacentral:misc_RNA from 1 species
AAUUUGCCUUUAUUUUAAGAGAAGAGCCAAAAAUACCCUUAAUGAAAUUAAUUAUUAAAAUAAUUAAUCUGAAUGCCCAACGCCCUAUCCCUAUCCCCCGCCACCACUCGCCUCUCUUGUCUUUCCCAACCCACAAAUGCUUAUGUCCAAGUAUUUUUGCUCCAAGGAUUUGCAAUGGGUUAUCCACGAACACUGGGUAAUGUAGAAGGUGUCAACGGCUUGGGUUCUUCUCAUAGAGGAUUCACUGCUUUGCUGAGGGCGAUGGACUUUUCAAUUUAGUUGUUGCGUUGCUAAGGGUGAUGGGUUAUUCUGGUGAGGACAAUGACAAGGUCGAACACUUUUCAGUUUCACGGUGGUUUAGAUGGUUCAGAUAUGAUUGCCUUCACCCG